UGGGGAAUAUUGGACAAUGGGCGGAAGCCUGAUCCAGCAACGCCGCGUGAGGGAUGACGGCCUUCGGGUUGUAAACCUCUUUCACCAUUGACGAAGCUGCAUCUUUUUGGGUGUGGUGCCGGUAGGUGGGGAAGAAGCACCGGCCAACUACGUGCCAGGAGCCGCGGUAAUACGAAGGGGGCUAGCGUUGUUCGGAAUUACUGGGCGUAAAGGGCGCGUAGGCGGUCUUGUAAGUCAGGCGGGAAAGGCCCGGGCUCAACCUGGGGACUGCGCUUGAUACUGCGAGGCUUGAAUCCGGGAGAGGAUGGCGGAAUUCCCAGUGUAGAGGUGAAAUUCGUAGAUAUUGGGAAGAACACCGGUGGCGAAGGCGGCCAUCUGGACCGGUAUUGACGCUGAGGCGCGAAAGCGUGGGGAGCAAA
rnacentral:rRNA from 1 species